UUACUGGAAGGCUAGCGAGUGGCGCCAUUGGCUGCUCUACUACAGCCUUCCAUGUACGCUCAACAUCCUUCCUCAACGCCAUUGGAAACACUGGUGUCUUCUUGUAGAGGCUAUCCACCUGCUCUUGCAGGAAGAGUUACAUCCCACUUUACUUGCACGGGCCAGCACAUUGCUUCAGAAGUUUGUCUUUAUGGUCCCUUCACUCUACGAGGAACGCUUCGUGACAUUCAAUGUUCACCAAUUGCUACACCUGACAGCAACAGUACAGCACCUGGGACCCCUAUGGGCUCAUUCCGCUUUUGUGUUUGAAGAUGGAAACGGCCGUCUCACAAAGACAGUGACCGCAGCGAACGGAGUGGCCCUUCAGAUCGUCGAAAGGGUCGUGCUCCAUCAGCAGUUAAAGCUUCUGCUUAACACCCAGCAGCUGUCAGCAAGAGUGAGGGAAGUGUGCGUGGACAUGCUCCAAGACCGCUAUGUUCAAAAUUACAGCAGAGUGGAUGGAGCAGUGCUCCUCGGUGUCCCUCAGCAUGUUUGUCAAUUUAUGCCUGCUGAAGAGGAAGCCUUCAGGAAGCGGUAUGGCAGAGUCCCUAGUUCAGCAAAGGAGUUUCUCAGGGUAGUGUCGAAUGGACAGGUGCACCACAGUGUAAAGUACACAAAAGCUAGGAAGAGCAACAGCACAGUAAUUUCAACAAAGACUGAUGAGUAUUUUUCCAUUCAACGCAUACUUGAAGUGAAACACAAUGAGGGCGAUAAGUGCAUAUUACUGUGCAAGAGGUUCGUCCUCGUACAUGGUGAGAAUCAGCUUCCAGCCCACAUCAAAGAGUGUUUCCUCCCAUCACACACGGAGAUAUUCGUGGUUGAGUUGUUUGACGUUCGCCAAACUUGUCUAUACAUUUUAUUUUUAUCUGAACACAAGUCUUACCUGUGUGACCUAGCAAACACUAUUGAAAGGGACUAACCACAUCUGUUGAGCAAAGGCCUGCACUACUGUGGAGUUCCAUUCCACGUGGCCGUUCUCAGUGCUUUAGGUGACUGUGUAAGCCAAGCUGUAUUUUUCAGUGUAUUGCAGAAUAUGUACAGCAAGAUAAGUGGACCAGAGUGCUUCAGAAAGAAAGCUUAUUGUAUUUAGUGCGCACUGCAUGUACAUAGCAUCACUGUACAGUGUGUCUUCUAUUUUUGUGUACCUCAAUUUGUUUCUUUUGUGUGUAUUUGGUUUUUUUCUUCCUGGUCUUGUACUGCUUAAUAAACAAAUGAUGCUUGAUCGUUAUGGUGA